rnacentral:rRNA from 1 species
CAUCCUCCAAGGCUAAAUACUCCUGACUGACCGAUAGUGAACCAGUACCGUGAGGGAAAGGCGAAAAGAACCCCGGCGAGGGGAGUGAAAAAGAACCUGAAACCGUGUACGUACAAGCAGUGGGAGCCCCACCACUAAGCCAGUGGUGAACUCCACAUACGCAUCCUUUGCUGAGGAUACGGUUAACGGAGCGAAAGCGACGUUCAACCUCAAAAGAAGCAGAGGGGGCUUAGUGGUGGGGUGACUGCGUACCUUUUGUAUAAUGGGUCAGCGACUUAUAUUCUGUAGCAAGGUUAACCGAAUAGGGGAGCCGGAGGGAAACCGAGUCUUAAUUGGGCGUUAAGUUGCAGGGUAUAGACCCGAAACCCGGUGAUCUAGCCAUGGGCAGGUUGAAGGUUGGGUAACACUAACUGGAGGACCGAACCGAC